rnacentral:lncRNA from 1 species
AUGGACUGAACCUCCAAAACUGUAAGAGUGAGAAACCACCCUCUCUGAAGACAAUUAUUCCUCUUACUGUUUCAACUUUUAUGGGUGGCCAGUCUGCAGGGGUCUGCCGGCAGCAUCCCUUAGAGAGCUCGCACAUCAGUUUCAGGUGCAUGGAUGUGAGUCUAUGAAUGGGUUUUCAUCUUAAAACAGUUUCACGUCAUUGUAAACUUUGGUCAAGAAAACAUCACACCCUGUAAUGCUGAGUUAGCCAGACUCUCCCAGGAGCAUACCAGGCGGGCUGUUUCUGUGUAGAAGUCUCAAGCGCCACUUAGCACAAAUGAAGUAUUUAACGAACGGGAGGCAAGCUACCUUCCAUCUAGGAUGGUCUCGAAGUCCAAACAAAUGACAUCUUAUUCUGCCAGGAUCUGGUUCUUGGUCCUGCACAACACUGGGCAGGCUAUUUUGGAACCACCAUACAUACAUCAAGCUGGAUUCAGACUUUGCCAUCUCAAGGCUGCGCCACCAUUGGCAAGCAUUCUGCUCGCUUCUGCAUGACAGGAUCGACAGGAUCCUGC